UACGAAGGGUGCAAGCGUUAUUCGGAUUUAUUGGGCGUAAAGGGUGCGCAGGCGGCAUGCUAAGUCGGCUGUUUAAUCUCCCGGCCUAACUGGGAAUCAGUGGCAGAUACUGGCGUGCUAGAGGAUGGAAGAGAGAAGUGGAAUUCUCGGAGUAGCGGUAAAAUGCGUAGAUCUCGAGAGGAACACCGAUGGCGAAGGCAGCUUCUUGGUCCAUUUCUGACGCUCAUGCACGAAAGCGUGGGGAGCAAACAGG
rnacentral:rRNA from 1 species